CCUACGGGAGGCAGCAGUGGGGAAUAUUGCACAAUGGGGGGAACCCUGAUGCAGCAAUGCCGCGUGGGUGAAGAAGCACUCCGGUGCGUAAAGCCCUUUCAGCCGGGAAGAAAAUGACAGUACCUGACCAAGACGCACCGGCUAACUACGUGCCAGCAGCCCCGGUAAUACGGAGGGGGCAAGCGUUAUCCGGAUUUACUGGGUGUAAAGGGAGCGCAGGCGGUAUGGCAAGUCAGAUGGGAAAAGCCAGGGCCCAACCCUGGGACUGCCUUUGAAACUGCCAUACUGGAGUGCCGGAGAGGUAGGUGGAAUUCCUGGUGUAGCGGUGAAAUGCAUAGAUAUCAGGAGGAACACCAGUGGCGAAGGCGGCUUACCGGACGGUAACUGACGCUGAGGCACGAAAGCGUGGGGAGCAAACAGGAUUAGAUACCCUUGUAGUC
rnacentral:rRNA from 1 species